rnacentral:lncRNA from 1 species
CAGGGGUGUCGAAGGACUCAUUCAACAUUUGAAUGAUCUUCUCUGGCUGCGCAUCCUCGAAUUUAUGACUAAAUUCAUCAUUCAUGGCUGCCCUCAUCAUGCAACGCACAGUCAUGCGAUCAUUGAGCCACUUCAUAUAAGUGUCUCUCGUGGUACGAGGAGCAUUAGCUGCAGAUUUUUUAGGUGCCUAAUCCGUAAGGACGUGCAAAAUCCUCUCAUACUCCAAGA